CUAACUCAAAUUUGUAUGGAACGUUUACCUACGUUUGCCGCUAAGGGCGCUGUUACAACUGCAUACAAAUUUGAGUUA
rnacentral:pre_miRNA from 1 species